GGGGGUGAACAGGGUUCGACGGGAGUGGUAUAAAUAAUGACAGCAGGUCAGAGUUGGUCGAUGGCUCUGUAAAAAUCGACCGAAAAAUAAACAACGAUAAAUUCGUUCCAAUGCAAAGCGUUAAACCUUUUAUGGGUUUUGGCGCAAUGCCAAUAGCUGCUUAACGUAGCUUCGUUUUACUUUUGACACCUGCUAUGAAGAUAAAACGACAAGAGCAGGUUAGUUUUAAGUGGCUUGUACCGUCAACUUAAAAUAAAAUUAAACGGUGCUAGUUUAUAGCGUAGUUCUGUUUGGAAAUAGCGCCAUAAACGAGAAAUAAUUCCGGACUAAACCUGUAGCAGUCUUAUUUAAACAUUUUCGGACGCGGGUUCAAUUCCCGCCACCUCCACCA
rnacentral:tmRNA from 1 species